rnacentral:rRNA from 1 species
CCUACGGGAGGCAGCAGUGGGGAAUAUUGCACAAUGGGGGAAACCCUGAUGCAGCGACGCCGCGUGAGUGAUGAAGUUUUUCGGUAUGUAAAGCUCUAUCAGCAGGGAAGAAAAUGACGGUACCUGACUAAGAAGCACCGGCUAACUCCGUGCCAGCAGCCGCGGUAAUACGUAGGGGGCAAGCGUUAUCCGGAUUUACUGGGGGUAAAGGGAGCGUAGACGGCCAAGCAAGUCAGAAGUGAAAGCCUAGGGCUCAACCCUGGGACUGCUUUUGAAACUGCCAGGCUGGAGUGCAGGAGAGGUAAGCGGAAUUCUUGGUGUAGGGGUAAAAUGCGUAGAUAUUAAGAGGAACACCAGUUGCGAAGGCGGCUUACUAGACUGUAACUGACGUUGAUGCGCGAAAGCGUGGGGAGCAAACAGGAUUAGAUACCCCAGUAGUC